rnacentral:rRNA from 1 species
UUAAAGGAAUUGACGGAAGGGCACCACCAGGAGUGGAGCCUGCGGCUUAAUUUGACUCAACACGGGAAAACUUACCCGGCCCGGACACCGGAAGGAUUGACAGAUUAAGAGCUCUUUCUUGAUUCGGUGGGUGGUGGUGCAUGGCCGUUCUUAGUUGGUGGAGCGAUUUGUCUGGUUAAUUCCGAUAACGAACGAGACUCUAGCCUACUUAAUAGAGAACCGAUUUCCUCUCGUCGGUUACUCUUCUUAGAGGGACAAGCGGCGUUUAGCCGCACGAGACAGAGCAAUAACAGGUCUGUGAUGCCCUUAGAUGUCCGGGGCCGCACGCGCGCUACACUGAAGGAAUCAGCGUGUGUUCACCCUGGCCGAAAGGUCUGGGUAACCCGUUGAACCUCCUUCGUGAUAGGGAUAGGGGCUUGUAACUAUUCCCCUUGAACGAGGAAUUCCCAGUAAGCGCGAGUCAUAAGCUCGCGUUGAUUACGUCCCUGCCCUUUGUACACACCGCCCGUCGCUACUACCGAUUGAAUGAUUUAGUGAGGUCUUCGGACUGGUGCUCGGAGCGGCUCUCGGGUCGCGCCGGCGUACCGGAAAGAUGACCAAACUUGAUCAUUUAGAGGAAGUAAAAGUCGUAACAAGGUUUCC